CAUGUACUCCCUCCGUUCUGAAUUACUUGUCGAAGAAAUGGAUGUAUCUAGACAUAUUUUAGUUCUAGAUACAUCCAUUUUCGAGACAAGUAAUUCCGAACGGAGGGAGUACUAA
rnacentral:pre_miRNA from 1 species